GCCGGAGCACUGUGCGGCGUAUUCCUGUGCCAACAGGCGGACAGCAAAGAAAAGGGCUCAAGGAACAACUUUUCACAGGUAGGAUUAAACGUUUUUUUCAACAUUACACUUGACUGUGGAGUCAUUUGUAGGCCAAAGAGGAAGACUAUCGGUCAACUCCAGAAAGGAAACAGCAUUUGCGAACAGCUAGCUUAUUCACAAUAAUAGCAACUUUGCUCUAAUAUCAACAGAUUUGCAUUAGAUUGAAAAAUUUUUGUUUGAGAGAGGUUCUAAGAAAUGUUAAGAAAUAAAAUAGAAAGAAGAAGGAAGAAAGUGAGCUCUGUUUUAUUAUCUGUUUUAUUAAAGAUUUCUUUGUGGUGAUCUCCUGUUUCAUUUUGAAGAUUUCCUAAGGACAAAAACUUGAGGAAGAAGUGGGAGAUUGCUGUUAGGAGGGAGAAAUUCGCAGCAAGUGAUUCCUCUGUGCUGUGUAGCCAACCACAUAGCCAAACUCACCUCUCUGGAGCCGCAGAAAGGGAGCACGAGG